rnacentral:lncRNA from 10 species
CCUGCAGCUAUCCUGAAGCUGCCAUGCUGAAAAGGCCAAUUGGGAGACCACAUAGAGACCGAGAGAGACUUCCAAGGACUCCAGCCAAUCCUGGGCCCCAGCAGUUUGAAUCUCCCAGCAAUGCCACCAUACAGGAGAGGGAGCAAAUACUCAGAAGAUUCAAGUGCCAGCUGCAUGGGUUGAUACCUACAUAAAAGGCAUUGGCAUUAUUCACAAGAGCCAAGAUAUGGAAAUAACCUGUGUCCAUUGACAGACGAAUAGAUGAGGGAAACGUGGCAUAUACACACAGUGGAAUAUUAUUCGGAAUUAAAAAAAGAAGGAAAUCCUGAAUCCUGCUAUUUCUGACAACAUGAGACUGCAGGACGUUAUGGUAAG